GAUGAACGCUGGCGGCGUGCCUAAUACAUGCAAGUCGAGCGAACAGACGAGGAGCUUGCUCCUCUGAUGUUAGCGGCGGACGGGUGAGUAACACGUGGAUAACCUACCUAUAAGACUGGGAUAACUUCGGGAAACCGGAGCUAAUACCGGAUAACAUGUUGAACCGCAUGGUUCAACAGUGAAAGACGGUCUUGCUGUCACUUAUAGAUGGAUCCGCGCCGCAUUAGCUAGUUGGUAAGGUAACGGCUUACCAAGGCAACGAUGCGUAGCCGACCUGAGAGGGUGAUCGGCCACACUGGAACUGAGACACGGUCCAGACUCCUACGGGAGGCAGCAGUAGGGAAUCUUCCGCAAUGGGCGAAAGCCUGACGGAGCAACGCCGCGUGAGUGAAGAAGGUCUUCGGAUCGUAAAACUCUGUUAUUAGGGAAGAACAAAUGUGUAAGUAACUAUGCACGUCUUGACGGUACCUAAUCAGAAAGCCACGGCUAACUACGG
rnacentral:rRNA from 1 species